ACCAUGUGACAUUCUCUGGCCUCUAGGAUUGGCUGUAAGUUAAAGAUCAUCUGGAAGAGACAUGGAUGUUACAGCUGAGAAUUUGUAGUUUCAGGAAGUGGUUGAAUAAUGUCUCUAUGAAGACUUAACAG